GAUGGUAUGACUCAAGUGGUAGAGUGCAUGCUUUGCAUGCAUGAAGUCCUGGGUUCAAUCCCCAGUACUUCCU
rnacentral:tRNA from 1 species